CCCCACAGGAGAGACCAGGAGCAGAACGCUUCCCUCCACCAACGGGGCCUGGACCGGGGCCUCUGAGAGCACGUGAGGCAUGGGACACGAAUGAAAGGAACGCCGUGAUGUCCCGUUAGUGGAAGGCGCACGCAGAAGCAGAACCCGCCCACGUGAAGGAACACUGCGCAGUCACAGAGCAGAAGGAGGACAGUCUGUGUUGCUGACGGCAAAGGGCCCCUUAGAUGCUUAGCAAACACACUGAGGCUCAGAGCAGCGACACUUUCCGGGAGGGAACUGGACAUCUGAGGCCGACUUUGCUGGGCGUUAUGAAUACGUGUCCGUGUGAAUAGAUUAGCUGUUCAAAAGCACUCAGAUAAACGGUUGGCAG